rnacentral:rRNA from 1 species
AGCAGCCGCGGUAAUUCCAGCUCCAAUAGCGUAUAUUAAAGUUGUUGCAGUUAAAAAGCUCGUAGUUGAAUUUCGGGAUCAAUAUGUUGGUCGUGCCUUGGUACGUACUGGCAUCGUUGGUUCCUACCCUCUGAAGAACCUUGAUGUCAUUAAUUUGGUGUCUUGGGGAAUCAGGACUGUUACUUUGAAAAAAUUAGAGUGUUUAAAGCAAGCUCACGCUUGAAUACAUUAGCAUGGAAUAAUGAAAUAGGACGUUUGAUUCUAUUUUGUUGGUUUCUAGGAUUGACGUAAUGAUUAAUAGGGAUAGUUGGGGGCAUUAGUAUUCAAUUGUCAGAGGUGAAAUUCUUGGAUUUAUUGAAGACUAACUACUGCGAAAGCAUUUGCCAAGGAUGUUUUCAUUAAUCAAGAACGAAAGUUAGGGGAUCGAAGACGAUCAGAUACCGUCGUAGUCUUAACCAUAAACUAUGCCGACUAGGGAUCGGAUGAUGUUAAUUUUUAAUGACUCAUUCGGCGCCUUAAC